rnacentral:rRNA from 1 species
CUCCUGGAUUCAGCGGCGGACGGGUGACUAAUGCCUAGGAAUCUGCCUGGUAGUGGGGGAUAACGUCCGGAAACGGGCGCUAAUACCGCAUACGUCCUGAGGGAGAAAGUGGGGGAUCUUCGGACCUCACGCUAUCAGAUGAGCCUAGGUCGGAUUAGCUAGUUGGUGGGGUAAAGGCCUACCAAGGCGACGAUCCGUAACUGGUCUGAGAGGAUGAUCAGUCACACUGGAACUGAGACACGGUCCAGACUCCUACGGGAGGCAGCAGUGGGGAAUAUUGGACAAUGGGCGAAAGCCUGAUCCAGCCAUGCCGCGUGUGUGAAGAAGGUCUUCGGAUUGUAAAGCACUUUAAGUUGGGAGGAAGGGCAGUAAGUUAAUACCUUGCUGUUUUGACGUUACCAACAGAAUAAGCACCGGCUAACUUCGUGCCAGCAGCCGCGGUAAUACGAAGGGUGCAAGCGUUAAUCGGAAUUACUGGGCGUAAAGCGCGCGUAGGUGGUUCAGCUAGUUGGAUGUGAAAAUCCCCGGGCUCAACCUGGGAACUGCAUCCAAAACUACUGAGCUAGAGUACGGUAGAGGGUGGUGGAAUUUCCUGUGUAGCGGUGAAAUGCGUAGAUAUAGGAAGGAACACCAGUGGCGAAGGCGACCACCUGGACUGAUACUGACACUGAGGUGCG